AAGGACGAACGCUGGCGGCGUGCUUAACACAUGCAAGUCGAACGAAGCACUUUGAUCGAUUUCUUCGGAUUGAAAUUUUAGUGACUGAGGUGGCGGACGGGUGAGUAACGCGUGGGUAACCUGCCUCACAGAGGGGAACAACAGUUAGAAAUGACUGCUAAUACCGCAUAUGCCUAAGUACCACAUGGUACAAUAGGGAAAGAAGCAAUUCGCUGAUAGAUGGGCUUGCGUCUGAUUAGAUAGUUGGUGGGGUAAUGGCCUACCAAGUCGACGAUCAGUAGCCGGACUGAGAGGUUGAACGGCCACAUUGGGACUGAGACACGGCCCAGACUCCUACGGGAGGCAGCAGUGGGGAAUAUUGCACAAUGGGGGAAACCCUGAUGCAGCGACGCCGCGUGAGUGAAGAAGUAUUUCGGUAUGUAAAGCUCUAUCAGCAGGGAAGAAAGUGACGGUACCUGAAUAAGAAGCCCCGGCUAACUACGUG
rnacentral:rRNA from 1 species